rnacentral:lncRNA from 1 species
CACACACACACACAUACACACACACACACACACGCACACACACACACACACACACAUGCACGCACACACACACACACACACACACGUGGAGAACAGAAGAUAUCAGAUAUUCUACUCUGUCACUCUCUAUAUGAUUCCUUUGAGGCCUGCAUCUCUCAUUGGACUUGGAGCUUAUCUCAGUGUUUGUUUGUUUUCUUUUUUUUUUGUUUUCAUUUUGUUUUGUUUUUGGCUAGGCUGACUGACCAACAAGCCACGACACUAUCUAUUCUUCUCAGUGCUGGGGUUUCAGGCAGAUGCAGCCAUGUCUUCCUCUCUACACAGAUGCCACAGAUCUGACUCCAUUCCCCAUGCUUGUUCAGCAAAUGCUCUUCCCCACCAAGCCAUCUACCCAGCUGGGAGAAUCAUAGUCUUAAAAGAGCACCUCACUGUUCUGGUGAAUAGUACACUCUGGGUUACACAGGUGUCUUGUGAGUAUAGGAAAUGCACCAGGAGGCAAGACCAUUUUCAUCUUCUAUGACAGUGUGACGAGGGCUCACUGUUCUAUUGUACCUGGAUAGAAAACUUGAAGAAUUGUUAUAGCUUCCUCUUUCUUAUUUCUGACAGACCUUGACAGUUUCCACUCAAUCACAUGUUUUUAUUUGUUUUUUUGUUGUUGUUUUGUUUUGUUUUGUUUUGUUUUUUUUUGUUUUGUUUUGUUUUGUUUUUUACCUUGAUGAGCUUUUGGAGCCUGGGCGGGUUAGCUUCUGGACUUUCCUCCCGUAAAGGAUGCGAGUCUCACCGUGACUCUGUUCACCUUCUGUGGACCAGCAGUAGUCAGCACAACUUCCCAGAGAAGGAAGAACUCAGACUUCGCAGCAGCACCUGUAGGAAGUUUGGAUGAAGGGCCUCCGGUCACUGGGUAUUCUUACUUCUGCGCAAGAUGACGAAUGCAUGUCUGUGAUUUAUUCCCUGACUGAGUGACAGGUGAUGGUCCAGAUGGCAGUAUCAUCAUCACAACAUGGAGCCACACACUAGAUGGAGGUGCCAAAUCUCAGGCUCCAGAACCAUGGAAUCAGAUCUUCUCUUACCAAGAUCCCCCAAUGACCCAUGUGUACAUUACAGCAUAGAAAGUUCUGUUCUAAAAGAUACUCUAAAGUCUCCCCAUUUGGAACUUAAGAAGGAGGUGGUAGAGUUUGUUAGGGAAUUAUCAGCUCAUCUGGUACUAUCUGGCUAAUAAAAGCAUGGCAGCCAUCACAUGGAGGAUUUGACCAUGUGCUAAGGAAUGCCUCUUUUCAACAGGCUCCAAAGAGCUGAGUGUCUUCAUUAACAGUAUAAAAAUCUUGCUAUUUACAAUUUUGUUUUGUUUUGUUUUUAUGGCUGGGUGGGAUUCCAACAUUCAUCAGUUAGGACUUGGAUACGAGAGAAGGACAGUACAGCACCCUGAUUCACGUUUUAGGGACAACUAUGACUCUUCAAACUCAGACCAUGGCAAUAUUGGACUGAAGCUUCCAGCCAGAAAUAGGUACCCAAGGGCAAAAACCUGUCAAGCAAUUGUCUCAAAGUUCUUCAAUAAAAUCAUUGGGAGACAAGCUGCUCAGAGUUCAUGAAAAAUAGUAAUCAAUCCGUGUUUCAGUUCAAUUAAUUGUGCUCAUCUCUGCCCCAAAAUAAAAUUCACACAGCGUGAGGGAAUUGGGCCAGAAGAUGUUACACUUGCAACUGGGUUAACGAAGUGUGAAAAUAUUUAAAAUUCAGACAUAUGAAGCUUUCCAGUAAGCCUUUCUGUUUAGCAGUCAAAAUCACCAAGUUUCUAAUUACAGUGUGUAAAUCUGAGAAGCUUAAAGGGAAUGAGAAGACCCUAAUGAGGCAGGAAUGGGUGUCUUGAUUAUACUAGAGUUGAUUGACAUUUAUCUUGCAAGCUAUUCUAGGUACCCAGCAUUCAGAGUUAAAUAAAACACAGACUUUGCCUCAAUAAAACAAGACAGCAUUCUUGUGUGGGAGCGUCUUGCAAAGGUACGGUAGGUCGGAGAAUUGUCAAUAUUUUUCCAGCAUACAGAUGGCUGGAUUCAAUCUGAACAGUAAUCAGGGGCCCUAGAAAGCAACAUCCUAAGUAAAUGCACUGCCGGAGGCCCCUGUGAGUUCAGAGGCAGAGGAGCUUUGAACAGGAUGGGAACAGAUACCAAGACUGAUGGAGAGAGGUGGCCUGCUAUGUAUAAGUUCAGGGUUAAGUGCUUAAAGAGGAAGCUACUAGAUCUGGAUAGAUGCAUAUACCACCUCCUACCCUUUAGCUUUAUCACAGUGAGUACUUGGGCCUCAUCAACACUGGACUUUCUUAUCUGUGGUCCACAGAGGCACAGCAGGAAUGAUGUGAUACCUUCCAGAUGGACAAGAGGCAGGAAGGGAUCAGCUGAAUCAUGACUAAUAUAACUGUAAGCCUGAAUUUGAAUAAUUUAAGCCAGAUCUAUGUUAAUUAGGAUACUAAAUUUUCAUACUGCAGGCCACUACGGGGUAUGUUAAGCCUGGCUAGUAACU